rnacentral:rRNA from 1 species
UACGUAGGAGGCGAGCGUUGUCCGGAUUUACUGGGCGUAAAGGGCGCGUAGGCGGUCAGCACAAGUCAGUUGUGAAAUCUCCGGGCUUAACUCGGAAAGGUCAACUGAUACUGUGCGACUAGAGUGCAGAAGGGGCAACUGGAAUUCUCGGUGUAGCGGUGAAAUGCGUAGAUAUCGAGAGGAACACCUGCGGCGAAGGCGGGUUGCUGGGCCAUAACUGACGCUGAGAAGCGAAAGCAUGGGGAGCGAACAGG